AGAGUUUGAUCCUGGCUCAGGAUGAACGCUGGCGGCGUGCCUAACACAUGCAAGUUGAGCGAUUUACUUCGGUAAAGAGCGGCGGACGGGUGAGUAACGCGUGGGUAACCUACCCUGUACACACGGAUAACAUACCGAAAGGUAUGCUAAUACGGGAUAAUAUAUUUGAGAGGCAUCUCUUGAAUAUCAAAGGUGAGCCAGUACAGGAUGGACCCGCGUCUGAUUAGCUAGUUGGUAAGGUAACGGCUUACCAAGGCGACGAUCAGUAGCCGACCUGAGAGGGUGAUCGGCCACAUUGGAACUGAGACACGGUCCAAACUCCUACGGGAGGCAGCAGUGGGGAAUAUUGCACAAUGGGCGAAAGCCUGAUGCAGCAACGCCGCGUGAGUGAUGAAGGCCUUCGGGUCGUAAAACUCUGUCCUCAAGGAAGAUAAUGACGGUACUUGAGGAGGAAGCCCCGGCUAACUACGUGCCAGCAGCCGCGGUAAUACGUAGGGGGCUAGCGUUAUCCGGAUUUACUGGGCGUAAAGGGUGCGUAGGCGGUCUUUCAAGUCAGGAGUGAAAGGCUACGGCUCAACCGUAGUAAGCUCUUGAAACUGGGAGACUUGAGUGCAGGAGAGGAGAGUGGAAUUCCUAGUGUAGCGGUGAAAUGCGUAGAUAUUAGGAGGAACACCAGUUGCGAAGGCGGCUCUCUGGACUGUAACUGACGCUGAGGCACGAAAGCGUGGGGAGCAAACAGGAUUAGAUACCCUGGUAGUCCACGCUGUAAACGAUGAGUACUAGGUGUCGGGG
rnacentral:rRNA from 1 species